rnacentral:misc_RNA from 1 species
GAUGAAGAACGUAGUGAAAUGCGAUAAGUAAUGUGAAUUGCAGAAUUCAGUGAAUCAUCGAAUCUUUGAACGCACAUUGCGCCCAUUAGUAUUCUAGUGGGCAUGCCUGUUCGAGCGUCAUUUCAACCCUUAAGCCUAGCUUAGUGUUGGGAGCCUACUGCUUUUACUAGCUGUAGCUCCUGAAAUACAACGGCGGAUCUGCGAUAUCCUCUGAGCGUAGUAAUUUUUAUCUCGCUUUUGACUGGAGUUGCAGCGUCUUUAGCCGCUAAAUCCCCCAAUUUUUAAUGGUUGACCUCGGAUCAGGUAGGAAUACCCGCUGAACUUAAGCAUAUCAAUAAGCGGAGGA